rnacentral:misc_RNA from 1 species
CCCAACUAUCCCUAUUAAUCAUUACGUGGUCCUAAAACCAACAAAAUAGAACCAUCGUCCUAUUUUAUUAUUCCAUGCUAAUGUAUUCAAGCAAAAAUGCCCGCUUUAAACACUCUAAUUUUUUCAAAGUAAAUGUCCUAGUUCAUCAAAACACCCGAAAGCAUUCCAAUUCACCAGAAGGUAAGAAUUGACCAUACACCAAUUCAUGCCCCUGAAGGCACGACCGAUAUAUCCCAAUCCCGAAAUUCAACUACGAGCUUUUUAACCGCAACAACACUAAUAUACGCUAUUGGAGCUGGAAUUACCGCGGCCGCUAAUACCAGACUUGCCCUCCAA